AUGCAUGUUUCAGACUAUAUGAUUUGUUCCUAGUCUGUUCAUCUAUAAAACAUUCAUCAAACUUGUCCAUGGCUGUCACUGUUACUAAGAUUUUUUCCUACUCCUUUUUAUGAAGUGGAUGUGACUGUAUAAAAAUUUAAGAAUAUACUUAAUUGAUCUUUCAAAGAACUGAUUUGGUUUGUACAGACUGUAUUCUUAAAUAUGAAGUCAAGUUUACAAAAUUUUGUAAAAUAGUGCUAUAUCUAUACUGAUUUAAUAACAUACAUCAUGAUUUAGUAAUAAAUGAUAAAUCU
rnacentral:misc_RNA from 1 species